AUCGCUUCUUGGCCUUUUGGCUAAGAUCGGAGUAGUAACUGUUCUUAUAAUAUAAAUACAUAAAAUGAGAACCCCUAUAACAUAACCAUAAUAUAAUAUGCAGUGAGACUCCCU
rnacentral:snRNA from 1 species